rnacentral:rRNA from 1 species
UGAGGAAUAUUGGUCAAUGGGCGGGAGCCUGAACCAGCCAAGUCGCGUGAGGGAAGACGGUCCUAAGGAUUGUAAACCUCUUUUGUCGGGGAGCAAGAUAGGGCACGCGUGCCCUGUUGGAGAGUACCCGAAGAAAAAGCAUCGGCUAACUCCGUGCCAGCAGCCGCGGUAAUACGGAGGAUGCGAGCGUUAUCCGGAUUUAUUGGGUUUAAAGGGUGCGUAGGCGGGAGCGGAAAGUCAGCGGUAAAAUGUCGGGGCUCAACCCCGGCCGGCCGUUGAAACUUCCCUUCUUGAGUGGGCGAGAAGUAUGCGGAAUGCGUGGUGUAGCGGUGAAAUGCAUAGAUAUCACGCAGAACUCCGAUUGCGAAGGCAGCAUACCGGCGCCCGACUGACGCUGAGGCACGAAAGCGUGGGUAUCGAACAGG